AGUUCGAUCAUGGCUCAAGAUUGAACGCUGGCGGGGAUGCUUUGCAUGCAGUCGAACGGCAGCACGGACUUCGGUCUGGUGGCGAUUGGCUUGAACGGGCGAGUAAUGUAUCGGAACGUGCCUGGUAGCGGGGGAUAACUACGCGAAAGCGUGAGUUAAUACGCCUACGCCCUUCGAAAGCGGGGGACCUUCGGGCCUCGCACUAUUAGAGCGGCCGAUAUCGGAUUGGCAGCUAGUUGGUGGGGUAACGGCUCGCAAGGCGACGAUCCGUAGCUGGUUUUGAGAGGACGACCAGCCACACUGGGACUGAGACCUGGCCCAGACUCCUACGGGGAGGCAGCAGUGGGGGAAUUUUGGACGUGGAAACCUGAUCCAGCCAUCGCGUGUGCGAUGAAGGCCAACCUUCUGGUUGUAAAGCACUUUUGGCAGGAAAGAAACGGCACAGGAUAAUACCCCGUGCAACUGACGGCGCCUGCCAGAAUAAGCACCGGCUAACUACGUGCCAGCGGCCGCGGUAAUACGUAGGGUGCAAGCGUUAAUCGGAAUUACUGGGCGUAAAGCGUGCGCAGGCGGUUCGGAAGAAAGAUGUGAGAAAUCCCAGAGCUUAACUGGAACUGCAUUUUUUAACUACCAGGCUAGAGUGUGUCAGAGUGGAAUUCCGCGUGUAGCAGUGAAAUGCACGUAGAUAUGCGGAGGAACACCGAUGGCGAAGGCAGCCUCUGGGAUAACACUGACGCUCAUGCACGAAAGCGAUGAGGCAAACAGGAUUAGAUACCCUGGUAGUCCGCCUAAACAAAUAUCAACUAGCUGUUGGGGCCUUCGGGCCUUGGUGGCGCCAGCUAACGCGUGAAGUUGACCGCCUGGGGAAGUACGGUCGCAAGAUUAAAACUCAAAGGAAUUGACAGGGACCCACGCAAGCGGUGGAUGAUGUGGAUUAAUUCGCGAUGCAACGCGAAACCUUACCUACCCUUGACAUGUCUGCGUCGAAGAGAUUGCGGUGCUCGCAAGAGAACCGGAACACAGGUGCUGCAUGGCUGUCGUCAGCUCGUGUCGUGAGAUGUUGGGUUAGUCCGCAACGAGCGCAACCACUUGUCAUUAGUUGCUACGAAGGCACUCUAAUGAGACUGCCCGGUGACAAACCGGAGGAGAAGGUGGGAUCAGAACUCAUGGCCCUUAUGGGUAGGGCUUCACGUCAUACAAUGGUCGGGACAGAGGGUCGCCAGCCCGCGAAGGGGAGCCAAUCCCAGGGAAACCCGAUCGUAGUCCGGAUCGCGGUCUGCAACUCGACUGCGUGAAGUCAGGUCGCUAGUGUCGCGGAUCAGCAUGUCGCGGUGAAUACGUUCCCGGGUCUUGUACACCGCCCGUCACACCAUGGGAGUGGGUUUUACCAGAAGUAGUUAGCCUAACCGUAUUGGGGAGGGCGAUUGCCACGGUAGGGGAUUCAUGACUGGAGACGAUCGUAACCAU
rnacentral:rRNA from 1 species